UGUGCCUACGGGGGGCAGCAGUGAGGAAUAUUGGUCAAUGGCCGAGAGGCUGAACCAGCCAAGUCGCGUGAGGGAAGAAUGUCCUAUGGAUUGUAAACCUCUUUUGUCAGGGAGCAAAGUCACCCACGUGUGGGUGUUGGAGAGUACCUGAAGAAAAAGCAUCGGCUAACUCCGUGCCAGCAGCCGCGGUAAUACGGAGGAUGCGAGCGUUAUCCGGAUUUAUUGGGUUUAAAGGGUGCGCAGGCGGCGAGUUAAGUCAGCGGUAAAAUUUCGGGGCUCAACCCCGACAAGCCGUUGAAACUUGC
rnacentral:rRNA from 1 species